UACGUAGGGUGCAAGCGUUGUCCGGAAUUAUUGGGCGUAAAGAGCUCGUAGGCGGUUUGUCGCGUCUGCUGUGAAAACUCAGGGCUUAACCCUGAGCCUGCAGUGGGUACGGGCAGACUAGAGUGUGGUAGGGGAGAUCGGAAUUCCUGGUGUAGCGGUGGAAUGCGCAGAUAUCGAGGAGGAACACCGGUGGCGAAGGCGGAUCUCUGGGCCAUAACUGACGCUGAGGAGCGAAAGCAUGGGGAGCGAACAGG
rnacentral:rRNA from 1 species